AGUUUGAUCAUGGCUCAGGAUGAACGCUAGCGGCAGGCCUAAUACAUGCAAGUCGAACGGGUGUUCUUCGGAACACUAGUGGCGCACGGGUGCGUAACGCGUAACCAAUCUGCCCUGAACUGGGGGAUAGCCCGCCGAAAGGCGGAUUAAUACCGCAUAAUACUACGUUUCGGCAUCGUUUCGUAGUUAAAGAUUUAUUGGUUCAGGAUGAGGUUGCGUGCCAUUAGCUAGUUGGCGGGGUAAUAGCCCACCAAGGCGACGAUGGCUAGGGGACCUGAGAGGGUGAUCCCCCACACUGGCACUGAGAUACGGGCCAGACUCCUACGGGAGGCAGCAGUAGGGAAUAUUGGGCAAUGGACGAGAGUCUGACCCAGCCAUGCCGCGUGCCGGAUGAAGGCCUUCUGGGUUGUAAACGGCUUUUCUCAGGGAAGAAAAAGACCAUGCGUGGUACACUGACGGUACCUGAGGAAUAAGCACCGGCUAACUCCGUGCCAGCAGCCGCGGUAAUACGGAGGGUGCAAGCGUUGUCCGGAUUUAUUGGGUUUAAAGGGUGCGUA
rnacentral:rRNA from 1 species